rnacentral:rRNA from 1 species
CCUACGGGAGGCAGCAGUGAGGAAUAUUGGUCAAUGGACGAGAGUCUGAACCAGCCAAGUAGCGUGAAGGAUGACUGCCCUAUGGGUUGUAAACUUCUUUUAUAUGGGAAUAAAAUGUUCCACGUGUGGGAUUUUGUAUGUACCAUAUGAAUAAGGAUCGGCUAACUCCGUGCCAGCAGCCGCGGUAAUACGGAGGAUCCGAGCGUUAUCCGGAUUUAUUGGGUUUAAAGGGAGCGUAGGUGGAUUGUUAAGUCAGUUGUGAAAGUUUGCGGCUCAACCGUAAAAUUGCAGUUGAAACUGGCAGUCUUGAGUACAGUAGAGGUGGGCGGAAUUCGUGGUGGAGCGGUGAAAUGCUUAGAGAUCACGAAGAACUCCGAUUGCGAAGGCAGCUCACUGGACUGCAACUGACACUGAGGCUCGAAAGUGUGGGGAUCAAACAGGAUUAGAUACCCUGGUAGUC